GAUGAACGCUAGCGGCAGGCUUAAUACAUGCAAGACGAACGGUAAGUGUUGUAGCAAUAUAGCACGAGAGUGUCGUACGGGUGCGUAACACGUAUGCAACCUACCUUGUACAGGAGGAUAGCUCGGGGAAACUCGAAUUAACCCUCCAUAAUAUAUUUGAAUGGCAUCAUUUGAAUAUUAAAACCUUGGUGGUACAAGAUGGGCAUGCGUCUGAUUAGAGUUGGUAGUGUAAUGGACUACCAAGACGAUGAUCAGUAGGGGACCUGAGAGGGUGAUCCCCAC
rnacentral:rRNA from 1 species